GCAAGAUUAAGUAAUAGGUUCUUGCUCACAUUAUUGCUCAAGAACAUCAAACGUGAUGGAUUGAUUUGAUAUAACAUGUAUGCCCUUGGCUCCUAUCAUCUUUAGGCUUUUGCUUUUCUUACGUAUCAAAUAAUUUUAUUGUGGUGCUGUGUCUAUUGUUUCUAACACAAAUGCCAGGAACCACUUCAGUAAAAUAUUUGAUUGUGAUUUUAAUGGAGAGUUUAUAUAAUGAUCAAGAGUAACACAUGCAAGCCGGCCAAACAUCGUCCAGAAAUCAGGGACUUCAAAGAGUCUUCCUUUUAGAACUCUAAAGGAACUGAAAUUUAUGUUUUUCCAUAUCGUCCAGCUUACUCAUUGGCAAUAAGUAACUGUUGGCAAGAAGCACGCAUCACAUGGUCCCGUUCCUGCCUCAGAAAGGUCAGCAGGAGGCCUGGACACUGGCCUGUGCUCAGCUGUGUGCCCUGGUCCUACGACACGUGGUUCAGAGUGCGUUUCGCAAUGUUACGUGGCUGAUUAAUGGUCACUUGCACAAGAAGUUUUUCAUUACCCUUACUGCAAACAUCCUGGGAAUGAUUAACUUUGUGACAUAACUCUCAUCACACAAAGAUGAGAGAUUCGAACAGAGCUUCAAAAUUAUGUACUUCAGAAAUAACCAAAUGUGUUUGGGCUUCUUAAUGUGUGCGGGAUUAACAACUGUUUUAAAGCCAAUUUUCGAAUCUUAUCAAUCGAGUGUGGUAUGAAAUGCUGGAAGCAUGUAGACCCUGCAUUGUGAGUAGAAGAAACUCGACCUAAGCACCUCAGGAGAAAGAAGAUGGUAAAAGCCCAGUCACACUCAUGCUGGGCUCCUCAAGGCAUCUCCGUGCUCACACUCAGAGAAGCGGGAGCCCUGCUUCCUGCCGCGGGCGCAGUCCUGCCAGCCGCUGCCCCAAGCCGAUCCGGCCACACCAGUGGGCUUUUCCUGAACGGCAUGGCCCGUUUCCGAAACGCAGCGUCUAAGGAAGAGAACACUUGGCUUGCUUUCUCCUGAACAGUCUCUGUGACAGCCCGGUGAGUGUGAGCAGUCAGCCUGCGGCUGCACGUUCUCCUCGCAGAGCACAGAGAAGGGCGGAGGGGGACCAUCGGCCUCCUCCCCCUAGGCCCUGCACUCGCGCUCCUCCUUCCAAGAACAGGCUCCGUAAAACCUCCUUUGUUGGUGCUCUCGAUUGCUCCACGUGACGGCAGUGGCGCACAGCAGUACUGCUGUCACUCUCCUUCCGCUUCUCUGGGAAAGCUUUGAUGUUCUCUGCUCGGCCUCCGUGCUGGGGCAGCGUGUGCUUGCAAGCCAGAGGCGCCUCGGACCCUGGUGCCUUCUCCCGUCAGGUGGUUGAACACUGGAUUGAACCAGCUCCCGGGGACCUGCUGUGCCUGCGCGCCAGCCCCUCCAGGGAGCGGCCAGCACCCUGCUCCGUGCUGCGCGGGAGCUGACGCCGCUGCUUCCUGGAGCCGACGCGCCCGGGCUGCGCUGGCGUUCCAGAGCUCCUCUGCGGGUCACAAACCCCGGGUCGUAAUUGCACUUAGCGUUUUUUUCCUAGCGCUGGCUUCCCGAAGAAGGACGUUUUGUGUAUUGGGUGUGUGUUUGAGAUCUCCUUUUGGCAAUUAUUUUGGAAAUGUUCAGAGGCCAAAAAUAGUGACAAGCUAGGCUUCCUUGCUGGCUCCGUGUGGUCCCGAGGGCUGUGGCACACGGGGCUCUGCUGAGAAGCGAGACUGACCACCACGCGCAGCGCUCCCGAGACCCUGCCCGGCACUGCCCUGCGAGGAGGUGCUGGCAGGGACAGCAAUCAUCUAGGCUGUAAAACCCUAAUGCCCAUCGCUAGCAGCUUAAUCUACACGCCUCCUUGCAGAAGUCUUUUGACCUGUACGGGAAAAAUGGUAUUUAAAAUCUGGGUUAGUCAAGAGGGUGGAGUGAGCUAAGUUUAGUGGAGGCUAAAAAUAGUCCCAGCUGCAGCCUUGGGGCUGGGCCCUCUCCUCCCCCAUCCCCGAGCCGCGCCCUCGGAGGCCUGUGCGUAAUUCUAGCCAGCCUGCAAAUGUCAUUUCUAGGAUUGUCCCAGCUGGUUACUCAUAUGUCAGAUCCCACUCUCCUGUGCUUCACGCAGCGGCUGCAUUUCCAUAGAAAGGUGAGUCACACCAGGGCUGGAAAGCAGGGAGGGCGCCAUCAACCGGAAGAAGGAGGUGGGGACGGAGCCUUUUAUAGCUCUCUGGGCGGCCUCUCCAUAGGUUAGUGUUCUCUUAACAACCAAGAUAAGGAUGGCCCUUUUAUGAGAAAUCUAUUUCAGUACAAGGGAUUAUACGAACUUCUUUUUUUAAAGCCAAAGGCAUUUCUUUUGUGGUUCUCAACUUAUAAAUAAAAUCUAUUAACAGUUGUUUAGUGGGCAUUUACAGUGCUGACUGCCGUGACUGUUUCUAGCACAUUCCCUG